GAACCACUUCGGUGGGGAUUAGUGGCGAACGGGUGAGUAACACGUGGGCAAUCUGCCCUGCACUCUGGGACAAGCCCUGGAAACGGGGUCUAAUACCGGAUACUGACCCUCACGGGCAUCUGUGAGGUUCGAAAGCUCCGGCGGUGCAGGAUGAGCCCGCGGCCUAUCAGCUAGUUGGUGAGGUAAUGGCUCACCAAGGCGACGACGGGUAGCCGGCCUGAGAGGGCGACCGGCCACACUGGGACUGAGACACGGCCCAGACUCCUACGGGAGGCAGCAGUGGGGAAUAUUGCACAAUGGGCGAAAGCCUGAUGCAGCGACGCCGCGUGAGGGAUGACGGCCUUCGGGUUGUAAACCUCUUUCAGCAGGGAAGAAGCGAAAGUGACGGUACCUGCAGAAGAAGCGCCGGCUAACUACGUGCCAGCAGCCGCGGUAAUACGUAGGGCGCGAGCGUUGUCCGGAAUUAUUGGGCGUAAAGAGC
rnacentral:rRNA from 1 species